AACCCAAUAGUUCCAGUACAGGAUGAUAGGUGCUCUGGAGGAAGAACGUACCCAGUGCUGCGCGGAGUGGACAGUGAUUCCACCUUCUGUGGAAAGGAGAGAAGAGAAUGAUCAAGCAAGUUUUUCAGGUACACAGUGUCUGUGUGUUCCCUGCUCUUGGAUCUCUGACUUGAGUGAAUCUGCUCCAACUGCCUCAGCCAGCCCUGGCCUUGGUCUUUCUGGCAAGACAUCCUAGAAGACUGUAUUUUGAUUCUAUGGGACAAAGGUGUGGGGCUGUGGGAGAGAGGAGAAACGAGAGGAAUGAGAAGUGAGAGACAGUGUGAAAAGGAGGGAGGCACGAUGGUCAUGGCCCAGACAUAGAAACGGACCCACUGUCCUUGCGCUCUUUGUCCAGGGGCCACAAUGCCCAUUACAGGAUGAGCUUCGCUCCACCCCCACCCUCCAACCACCUCCAUGCUUCCCACUACUCUCUCGCCUGUUUCAAGAUUUAAGUUUUAAUUGUUUUCAUCAGAACCUCCAAAGGGACAGGGUAAUUAGCCAGGUUAGUCUUGUAGAAAUAGAAGACGAUGCACUACAAACAAUAUGCGUUCUGAUACCUCCAGGAAACUUUCUUUUCAAGACCAAAAUACAUGUUUCAGAGUCACAAGAAGAAAUGGUGAUGCCUGACCACUCAGUAAAACCUGAGAUGUGAACAUUGAGUCCUGGACUCGGAUUGUCUGGCUCUCUGGACAGGAUACUCCAGACUGCACUCUGAGGCCUCCACUGGGCAGUCAUCGGUCCGCUAAGAACAUCACGCCAUGGGAUAAACUUCCUGAAGUCAUAAUUUAAACAUUGAGUUUUCCUUUUACCCCAACAAGGCCUUUAUGUUGGCUCAGAAAGCAGUGUAACAAGGACAAUCUUGCUUAAAAAAAGAAAAAGAAAAGAAAAAUGCUCCCAGCAUAUAGAAGAGGGAAGAAACAAUAAACAGCUUACUGAACAGUAACAAAAUCAUUAGCCUGAUUUGGUUGUUAAAUUUGUAUAUUUUCCUGAGUCUUUAAAUAUCCUCUACGAGAAUGUAAACACCAUGAUGGCAAAGGUUAUUUGUCUGUUUUGGUCCCUGCUGUAUCACCGUCACCUAGAACAGUGUCUGGCCCGUAGCGCUGACUAAAAAGAUGUUUGUUGAAUAAAUAAAGGAAUGAGUGAAUGCACAGUCCCACUCAUAUAAUUAGAAAGAAAUGUCUCAAAAUGUUAAUGAGGGUUAUGAGUGAAUUGUAUUUUUUCUUUAUAAUAUUCUGCAUUUACCAGUUUUAGGAAUAACCAUGAAUAAUUUGUAAUUGGAACAAAAU
rnacentral:lncRNA from 10 species